UACGUAGGGGUCGAGCGUUGUCCGGAGUUACUGGGCGUAAAGCGUGUGCAGGCGGCGCAUCGCGCCCGGCGUGAAAGCCCCCGGCUCAACCGGGGAGGGUCGUCGGGGACGGGUGCGCUUGAGGGUAUCAGGGGCAGGUAGAAUUCCCGGUGUAGUGGUGAAAUGCGUAGAGAUCGGGAGGAAUACCCGUGGCGAAGGCGGCCUGCUGGGAUACACCUGACGCUGAGACACGAAGGCGUGGGGAGCGAACAGG
rnacentral:rRNA from 1 species